rnacentral:misc_RNA from 1 species
AAUAAGCUCCUGAAAAAUGAAGUCGCAUCCCUCAACCAGGAAAUGGCAACUGUUCUUCAGAGGUCCAAAGACGCACAAAAUGAGGUGGAACUGAUGAGGAAAAAGCUGGAGGGUAAUCAGAGGACUCAGUCCCAGUCGGAUCAGAUGGUGAGGGAGUUACAGUCCCGCGAGUCCGACCUGAUGGAGGCUCUCCAAGCCAAGGACUCCCAGCUUGGAGUGCUCCGGAUACGCCUGGAGGAGGCGGACAAACAGAUCGAAUCCAAACAGAAGAGCAUUGCUGGUCUGGAGGGUGAGAGAAGCAGAAUACUGAGGGACCACAGUGAUUCGAGUGGGGUACAUGGUCAAGCUUUGGAUUCCUUGCAAGCCAAACUGUCAGAGGUGGAGGCAACUCUACGCAGGGAGCAGGAUUCUCUCAAACAAGUGCAACAAGAAGCCACAGUUCGACAGAGUCGUUUGGAAGAGGAACAGAGAAGUUUGGCCGAUGCUUUGACUGCAGCUGAAAGAAGGGUCAAUGAAGAAAAAAGUAAAGCGAAUGAUUUAACUAAUCAGCUCAAAGCAGCUAAACAAAAUGCAGAAAGUGCCAAACAGGAGUUGGUAGACUAUAAAGAGAAAGCAGCAAGGAUCCUACAGUCAAAAGAGCGGUUGAUAGCCAGUCUAAGGGAGGGGUCUGGAGCCUCCGGGGAGUCAGUGGGCGUGUCCAAUCUGGAGUACGACUCCGUGAAACAGGAGCGAGACAUGUUCCGGGAGGAGCUACAGCAGUACAAGAUGACUAUUGAGAACAUGAGAAUGGAACUGUUGGAUAUGGAGACCCAUCUCCAACAGGAGAGUGAUACAUCCAAUGAACAGAUCCGCUCCUUGGAGGAAAACGUCCGCAGUGAAAAACAGAGAAGGGAAGACGCAGAACAGGAACUGUUGAAACAAAAACAAGAACUUCAAUACAACCUAGAGGAGCUGAGGAAAACUAAGAUGUCCUAUCAGACUUGUAUCAAGGACAGGGAAGCUGAGAUUGAGAAACUUAGAAACCAGAUCAUGACCAAGUCAAUGAGUUCAUCCACGGAGGGUGAGUUGGAGGCUCGAGUUAAAACUCUGACGGAGAGUCUCAUCCAGAAACAAACAACUCUGGAAACUUUGAGCACUCAGAAGAACUCACUGGCCUUACAGCUAGAGAGACUAGAGCAACAGUAUAAAGAUAUUCAGUCAUCCUCACUGCGCACAAAUACCACAGUGGUCAAUGUACACGAUGAGGAGGAAGUGCGACAGAGGUACCCUGGCUUUAUGAGGGAGACACCAACAGAUCAUGAGGUCACCAAGAAAAUGAAGAGGGCCGCCAAUGUCAUAGACAAAUUCAGCAUAAGACUAGGAGUAUUUCUAAGAAGAUAUCCUAUUGCAAGAGUGUUUAUCCUCAUGUACAUGGUAUUGCUUCACCUGUGGGUGAUGGUUGUUUUACUGACAUAUCAACCAGAAAUGCAUGGGUCCGAAAAUUCCGCCCAGCCCCUGCCCCCUGAAUAACCAGAGACCACUAGCAAUGGUUCAUUGUAUCAGCUGUGAUAUUGCUACUUCAUGCUUUCAAAUCCUAGCAGACACUGUAAUCAGAUACUUUUAAAACUGUGUGUUUUACCAACAUACUGUUUCUUGUAUAAUGUAACAUAUAAAUGUGGUUCGGUUUUGAUGAAAUGGUAUACUUUUUAAAAAAGCUCUAAAUGUUAUGAUUUUGUGUGAGAGAGAGAGAGAGAGAGAGAGAGAGAGAGAGAGAGAGAGAGAGAGAAAGAGAGAGAGAGAGAGAGAUUUAUGUAAUAUAUGUACUCACUUUAAGCCUUGACAAUUUUUCCACUGUCACAUCAGUCAGAUGCAGUUAUUACAUGUAUUUACAACUGUUAACAAUGUUUACUUCGUGCUAGCAUUGCCCUUCCUCAGCCAUUUUCUUGAAAUUUCCUCUCAAGUUAAUUAUUGCUGUACAUGCUAAUACAAUCCACAUAAACAAACAAUUACAUGUAUACAGUAUUCUGUCUGUAUCUUGGUUGUUAUUCUUCAUAGUGAAAAUCAUUUCAGACAGGGUCAUAAGUUUUCAUGCAUAACAUCACAAUUACCAUAUUUCUUUAUUUGAUGGUCACUUUGUGGUUAAUAUAAUCAUGUAAAUGUACAUGCCUGCAUACAUGUACAUAAAAUAAUAUUUUACACUGUUUAUUUGUAAUAUUUACAUGAAGUUAUAAUAGCAAGUAUUACGAGUACAUGUGAGGGUCAUUGAUUUAAUAAGGUACACAACAUUUAUUGUACAAAAGAUUCUUUUGAAGAAGUGACCAUUUUAAGAUCAUCAAUAGUUGCAUUUUGUUUUGCAAACUUUUCAUGUUAUUGUGUUCAGAAUAUUACUUUAAAAGGAGAACAUUUCCUCAAAUUAAUUUUUUUUCUAAUCUUAAUCAAAUAUGAUUUUAGCAAUUUGAUAGGCUGGAACUGACCGCUGUGCAUUGUGUAGACAGUGUUUAUGCCCAUAACAUGAUCCACAUCUAUUUUUUGUUCUAUAUUGAUGGGAAAUGGUUUAUAUGUUUUGUGCUUUAUGUCAGAAUUAGAAGUUAUUGCAUUUUACAAGAACCUGGUGCGUGUAACAAUUUCAUUAAAGCACUGUGUAAAAUAAGGCUGCAUUUUAAAACCAUUUCUUAAGGAAAAGUUUACUUACAUAAAUACCGUAAUUUAUUUGUACAUAGAACAUUUUUAAAAAAUGCAUCAAGAUCUGAACUUAUCAAGAUAAAGACACAUUGAUAAUACAUGUAAUGUACUCGUAAACCAUUUGAAGAAUUGUGUUGUGCAGUGUCUGUACAAGGAAUAAAGUGCAUUUUGUUGACAGAGGAAUUUGUUAUUUAUGUGGUAUUUUAUUAUUAAAGUAUAUGAACAGUU